AGCUCCCAUAGUGCUCCCUAGCGCCCCCUAGCACCCAUAGCUCCCCAUAGGGCCCAUGGCUGCCCCCUAGAGUCCCAUAGCUCCCCAUAUGCUCCCUAGCGCCCCCUAGCACCCAUAGCUCCCCAUAGGGCCCAUGGCUGCCCCCUAGAGUCCCAUAGGGCCCCAUAUGCUCCCUAGCGCCCCCUAGCACCCAUAGCUCCCC